CACCAUCCACAGAGACUUUUUUUUUAAAUGCACUAAUGCUACAUUCACAAGUUGGAAGUAAGUGGCAAAUGGGAAACUGGAUGUUGCAUUAUUUUCAGCCAGGGGAUGACAGAAAAUUACGCCACUGUUGGCUGUGUCGGCACCAGUAUGUGCCAU